CGGGGACGUCUAAACGACAUCGUUUUGGCCCAGGCAUCUGAGCCGUUUUGAUCAUCCUUGAUCAAACAUUCUAGAUGCAAAGGUCUUUACCCUAUUUAAGUGUCGAAAUAACCCCCGUCAAUAUAACUCGUACCCUGUCCAAAUAAACCCUAAAUUAUCCGAUGUAAUGCCGCCUAACCUCCGCCCUGCCUCCGCCGUACCACCACCGCCCGCCGCCGGCUGGAAAUCACCAUCGCCAACGGCGUAUCUCUGAUGGACCCCAAAAUUACACCCCGGAAUUCCUAGGAUCCCCUCUUUCCAAUCCCUCUAAGAUCACCCCUCGAAUCUGUCCCUAUUCGUCGAAUAUUCUUUCAGAGGAGCGGCGGCUCCACCGUCCACGGCAGCGCUGGCUCCAAUGGCCUCCAAAUCAACUCCC
rnacentral:lncRNA from 1 species